GCCCGAGGGAACCUCUUGGCCCCUGGCUGCUCAGCUGAGGACUACGGCCGCGGGGCUGGCUCUUAGCGAGGUCCGGGCCUCUCCUGUACCAGGCCUGUGCCGGCUCCGGCUUGUCCCCAGAGCCCUCAGCCUGGAGCCUGGUGGGCGCAGCAGGACCCCCUGUGGAGCUUCAGGGCUCAGUCUGGGGAGCGGCAGUGCGUCAGAGAGGCCUUUGGGUGGGGAAGGAUGAGAGGUGCCCCACAUAGCCGCCAGAGCCCCUCGCACCUGUGGGGCCGGCUGCCCCGAAAAUAAAACCCAUGAGAAUAUGGAGAAGGUGGAACCCAGCUGGUGGGAGCUAACGGGCACAGCGGCUGCUCUGGAGAUAGCUGUGGCAAACAGCGUGGAGAGUCCUCAAAAGAACGUGGGCAAGGCCAUCACCAAGGGCUGCCACUACGUCAUCCUCGGCCUGCAGGGCUUCGCUGCUGCCUACUCUGCCCCAUUCGCAGUCGCCACCAGCGUGGUAUCCCUCGUGCGCUAGAGUACCCCACGUCUUUCGGACUGGACGCUUGGAUGAGAAAGCUGCCCUCCUUGUCAGACUGGACGGAGUCAGGUCUGAGCCACCUGCUGCUUGCAGCUCCCACGGCUCCUGGACACAGGCCCCAGGGUCAUCCUGCAGGGCCCAGGCCCAGGUCCUCUUGAGCCAGAAGCAGUUUUUCUACCCCGGACACUUGGAGCCCUCGUGGGAAGGGCAGUGUGGGUGAUAAACGGGCAUGGCGGGGGAGUUGAGCUUGCUGAAUCUCCAGUUAUCCGGCUCCUCUGGUGCAGGUGUCGGGUUCCUGGGGCACCCAGGCCUGGCUACCUGACUUCUACUGAUGGGUUCUUUUCCUAGUAUGAACUACUGAAUUAUUAUGGUGGUCGCCUAACAGGGCUGAAGCCCUCAAAACAGAAGCCGGUCUUCCCAGAGGCCACCUCCUCCUUCACCCCCAUCCCAGUCCUGGAUACAGUUUCCUUUUGCUUUUCCCCCUCCACAAGGGAGCCCCCAGUCAGCCCCCUAGGUGUCACUAAACCUGCGCACCAAACUCUGCCCCUGGCAAAGGCCCCUGAAGUCUCAGCUUCCUGUGUCUCAGGUCAGAGGCUCCCCAGCUCCCUCAGAUUCUCUCCGUGUGUUCAGAGCCAAUAAAGGCCUCUUUUAUCUUUCCUAUGUCUUCACCGACACCUAAAAACCUAACAUUUUGGUGCUGUGACUCAGGCAGCGUGUGUGGCUCCUGGGUCACAAACCCCAGUCCUGAGCCCCCUGCCUGCGGACCGAGCUUCUCUCCUCUGGAACCUGCCUACUUGCUGUUGGCAGCCCGCGUCCAGCUCUGACCCACCGCAUACAGCCGGGCGAGCCGAGCCCUCCCAGGGCUCCAGCCUUUCUCAGCAGCUGCCCUCCUGCUCCGUGGGCAGGGCCACUGUGCUCACGCCCAGAGGCAGGGUGGCCUCCCCAGGUGAGGACUGAGACAGCAGCUUGAGGUCCUCCUCUCUUGGCUCACCUCAAAUUCGGCUCACCUCAGAUAUUCAUUCCCAAGCCCCCAAAGCCACCCACUGGGAUGCCACCUUCUCGUCUCAACUCCCUGGGCCUCUGCAAGGCCAUAAAAGCCAAAAGGUUAACCUUUUACUCCAAAUGGCUCGGCCACCAUAGAAACUGGACAGUGGCAGCCAGUGGCCCAAAGAGAAAAUUUUAACCCCUUAAAUCUCCUGUUAUCACAACAGCAAAUGGUCAGAAAUUCCUUCAAAGCCUUCCUUGACUCUGAAAACACGGCCCUCCCCCAUGCCCACACUGGGCUCAGCCUCCUCCCUGCCAGAUUAGAUUUUCCCACAGCUGCUGCUGCCUGCAGCUGCCCAGCCCCAGCCCCUCCCUCCGCGCUGCCACUUCACUUUCUGAGGCUCUCCGCCCCUCCCCGCUCCUUGCUCCCCCUCCUCUGCCCUUCUCUCUUCUGCCCAUGCUGGUCUGUCCUGUGUCCUGCUCUGCCAACCUUUUGUCUGCCCCAACCCAGAGCACUAACUCAUCUGCCUCCAAGCAUGCUCCCCUGACCAGCAGUGCCCCACCCCUGUGCUAGCGGGUGCUUGAGCUGGCACGGGGGCCAAUAGCCCACGGAGUGGAGCACGUGGCCCUUAUCUAUCCUGCCUUUUCUGGUGAUUCUGAGUCCAUGGCUUCCCCUCCCCCAGUCUGCACCCAACGGAGGAAAAAAGGUCUCCAGUUAUCCCCUGUAAGCUGCAAAGCUAGAAAAGCCUGCAGGAAUAAGUUUGUCUCAGUUGAUAGAAGUUACUCAGACAGUGUUUCCUAGUAGAAAGGAUGCAGAAUGGAGACACAGACAGGAAAGGAGAAAUGGGAUGCUGGCAGCCAUAGGAAGGAGAGCCAGUCAGGAACCAGGGCAAGUCAGGCUUCCCUGGCCCCAGGCCAGCAUGUGCAUCGCAGAGAGAAGGGGCAUUUCAAGCGAAAAUGUCCAAGGCUGCUAGAGAGGGAAAGAAGAAAGUGUUAGCGAUGGAAUCAGAGGAAGUCUCAGAUUUUUGAGGUCGUGGGUCUCUGCCUUUCAGCCCCAGGAUGUCAACUGCCAGUGUAAGGGGAGAGAAAGCCUGCUAGACUUUUGAUGAACGCCAGUGCAGCUUUGUCAGUAGUCAUCCAGCCAACUUGCAAAGCGGAAAGUGCUCAGUGUUUUCCAAAGGCUUGGGCAAAAGUCGGUCUCCCAGGUCUGUCAAUUCAUGGGCCCCAGUAAAAGUAGAGUUAGUGGGACAUGGGAAACCAUUUUGUUUGAGAAUAAGAUUUUCUCAUAAAAGUUGCUCUUGGCAUAAAACUAAAUUAAAAAACAAUAUGAUGACAAUUUGUUAUUGCUAAUAUAGUAUAAAUGUAUUCAUGUCUUCCAAAUGUACAGUAUUCUAUAAUGUAAAACUGAGAUUGUUUAUGAUGAUAUUUUCUGUCAGAUUUAAAAAUGUCUUUAUCUUA